UAGAAUCUUGCAGGCCCUGUGAUGGCACAC
rnacentral:piRNA from 1 species